rnacentral:rRNA from 1 species
GUGAGGAAUAUUGGUCAAUGGGCGGGAGCCUGAACCAGCCAAGUCGCGUGAAGGAAGAAGGAUCUAUGGUUCGUAAACUUCUUUUGCAGGGGAAUAAAGUGCAGGACGUGUCCUGUUUUGUAUGUACCCUGAGAAUAAGGAUCGGCUAACUCCGUGCCAGCAGCCGCGGUAAUACGGAGGAUCCGAGCGUUAUCCGGAUUUAUUGGGUUUAAAGGGUGCGUAGGUGGUUCGAUAAGUCAGCGGUGAAAGUUUGCAGCUUAACUGUAAAAAUGCCGUUGAAACUGUCGGACUUGAGUGUAAAUGAGGUAGGCGGAAUGCGUGGUGUAGCGGUGAAAUGCAUAGAUAUCACGCAGAACUCCGAUUGCGAAGGCAGCUUACUAAGCUACAACUGACACUGAAGCACGAAAGCGUGGGGAUCAAACAGGAUUAGAAACCCCUGUAGUCC